rnacentral:misc_RNA from 1 species
AAUCUUACGAAUGUUUUCAGUGUUCAUAUGUUUCUAAAGAUAAACAACAGGGACACCAACAACAAAGGAAGUGAUGUUUCAUAGUUCAUAUUCUGCAGGCUCUGACCGCUUAAUGCAUUAUACAUGAAUAAAAUAUGUUACAUAUACCAAUUGUGAGCAAUUUCUGUUUCUAUUUUAGAUUUCUCACUAUUAUGAAUUUAAAACAUCAAUUUUCAAUUAACCAAAUUCAAAGGGAUAAGAAAUGCAAUUAGUAAAUAUGGACUAAAGAGAACAGUUUAAAUGGAUUCCUCUAGAGUCUAGCCAUGCACUUGCACCAUUCCACAAAAGGUUUUUGGGAAGAUAUAUGAUAGAGUAUCUCUUCUUUAAAAAGAUUAAGUAACACUACAGGCUCUGAUAAAUUACGUCCAAAUAUCCACAAAACCAUGAUAAGGACUAAAAGAAUCAUUAAGAAUGUCACAUGUAAGUACUGAAAUAAAGUGAAAAUUAUGCUUAUACAGCAACACAUGAUUUAGAAUACCCUUUUCUAAUCAGUUUUGCUGUUUCCUUUCUCCAAAUGUCCAAGUUAUGUGUUUUGGGACAAAUAUAAGCCUCUAGUGUUAAAUUGAAGGUAUGCAGUAGAGAUUGCAGUAUGACAUAGAAUUACAACCUUUGGACAAAAAUAUAACCUACCAAAUACGUCAAUGCCAAGCCGU